rnacentral:rRNA from 1 species
UACGGGGGGGUAAGCGUUGUUCGGAAUCACUGGGCUUAAAGGGUGCGUAGGCGGGCUCGUCAGUCGGGGGUGAAAUCCCACGGCCCAACCGGGGAAGUGCCUCUGAUACUGGCGGCCUCGAGGGAGGUAGGGGCGUGCGGAACUUCCGGUGUAGCGGUGAAAUGCGUAGAUAUCUGGAGGAACACCGGUGGCGAAGGCGGCAUCCUGGACCGGCAUUGACGCUGAGGCGCGAAAGCUAGGGGAGCAAACGGGG